UACGGAGGAUCCAAGCGUUAUCCGGAUUUAUUGGGUUUAAAGGGUGCGUAGGCGGAUAAGUAAGUCAGUGGUGAAGGCCUGCAGCUUAACUGUAGAAUUGCCAUUGAUACUGCUUGUCUUGAGGACAGUUGAGGUGGGCGGAAUAUGACAUGUAGCGGUGAAAUGCUUAGAUAUGUCAUAGAACACCGAUUGCGAAGGCAGCUCGCUAAACUGUAUCUGACGCUGAGGCACGAAAGCGUGGGGAUCAAACAGG
rnacentral:rRNA from 1 species